rnacentral:lncRNA from 1 species
GCCGGCCCCCGGCGGCGGUCGCCGCGGGGUCGAGGUGGGCGCGCGGCUGGGCCUGGGAGGCGCGGCCUGGCACAGCGCCACCGCGCGCCGGGGACCCGGCGGGGACUGCGAGUGACGGCACAGCCUCCGGCCUGGCGCGGAGCUCCAUUCGGUCCCUGCCAGCAGCCGGCUGUGCUGUCGGCCCCGGGGCGCGCUCCAGAAGCAGAAAGUUCCAGGGCCACCCAGAUGCUCCCGGGGCUCCUCGGACUUGGUCUCUCCGCUGUCCCGAGGGCCCCGGAGACCCCUUCCAGUCCUCAGCCCCUCGGUGUGCCGAGCCUGGUCCGCGCACCCCUGGGCCCGCGCUGUCAGGUCCUCGAACCGUGCUUGACGUUGCCCUUGACCCAUGGCAGAGCUAGAGCCACGAAGGAUUCGGUUUUGGCGACAUCUCAGAGAUCGUCCAAUGCUUUCAAAAGGGCAGCUGGGCAACCCACAGCGGUUACGCGACUUGCUCGGCGUCCUGGAAGUUCAAGAUCCUCAGAGCUGUGUAGGUCAC